GGCGGCGUGCCUAAUACAUGCAAGUCGAACGCGCAGCGAGAGGUGCUUGCACCUUUCAAGCGAGUGGCGAACGGGUGAGUAACACGUGGAUAACCUGCCUCAAGGCUGGGGAUAACAUUUGGAAACAGAUGCUAAUACCGAAUAAAACUUAGUAUCGCAUGAUAUCAAGUUAAAAGGCGCUACGGCGUCACCUAGAGAUGGAUCCGCGGUGCAUUAGUUAGUUGGUGGGGUAAAGGCUUACCAAGACGAUGAUGCAUAGCCGAGUUGAGAGACUGAUCGGCCACAUUGGGACUGAGACACGGCCCAAACUCCUACGGGAGGCUGCAGUAGGGAAUCUUCCACAAUGGGCGCAAGCCUGAUGGAGCAACGCCGCGUGUGUGAUGAAGGCUUUCGGGUCGUAAAGCACUGUUGUAUGGGAAGAAAUGCUAAAAUAGGGAAUGAUUUUAGUUUGACGGUACCAUACCAGAAAGGGACGGCUAAAUACGUG
rnacentral:rRNA from 1 species